rnacentral:rRNA from 1 species
CACGUAGGGCGCAAGCGUUGUCCGGAAUUAUUGGGCGUAAAGAGCUCGUAGGUGGUUUGUUACGUCUGCUGUGAAAUCCUAGGGCUUAACCCUGGGCUUGCAGUGGAUACGGGCAGACUAGAGGUAGGUAGGGGAGAAUGGAAUUCCUGGUGUAGCGGUGAAAUGCGCAGAUAUCAGGAGGAACACCGAUGGCGAAGGCAGGUCUCUGGGCCACUACUGACGCUGAGAAGCGAAAGCAUGGGGAGCGAACAGG